CUGAUGCCAGAGCAGCAACCUGCCCUCAGGCGAAAUGAGUUCAAUCCUUCUCUAUCUCAACUCUGCCUCCUGCCUAACGAUCCUGCUGCUCUUUCUUGUGUAUUAUGCUGUGAUCAGGCUUGCCAGAUCUGAGCAUCUCAGGAAUGCAACCGUUACAGUCCCAGUCCUUCUCAGACAGCUUUCACAGCCCACGAGGAAGGAGCUGAGUUUAAUAGUGCUAACAGAUGGAGUUCCUAUGGAAGAACAACAGAGAACCACAAAGAAUGUCCACCCACCAUCACUACAUCACCAGAAAGUCUGGCCUCUGUGUUCAGUGAACAGCAUUGAAAGGGACAGGGAAACAGACAGCAAGUGUAUUUUCUUCCCUGAACUUUUGUAUUGACACAACAAGCCUGUCACCUCUCCACUGAUAAGCGACGUGACACUGUGUUUGUGCAGCCAACCGAGUGAGUGUUUCACCCUCCGCUGAUUGCAUCCAUGCAUGGAGAGAUCAGACACUAGGGACUAGGAAAAGUAAUAAACACCUGAAAUGGUCAUGGGGA